GUCUAUGGCCAUACCCACCCUGAAAGCAUCUGAUCUUUCUAAUCCUGGAAGCUAAGCAGGGUUAGGCCUUGUUAGUACGUGGAUGGGAAACUGAGAAACAGAUUGGCUAGGAA
rnacentral:rRNA from 1 species